rnacentral:rRNA from 1 species
CCUACGGGCGGCAGCAGUGAGGAAUAUUGGUCAAUGGGCGCGAGCCUGAACCAGCCAAGUAGCGUGAAGGAUGACUGCCCUACGGGUUGUAAACUUCUUUUAUAAAGGAAUAAAGUGAGGCACGUGUGCCUUUUUGUAUGUACUUUAUGAAUAAGGAUCGGCUAACUCCGUGCCAGCAGCCGCGGUAAUACGGAGGAUCCGAGCGUUAUCCGGAUUUAGUGGGGUUAAAGGGAGCGUAGAUGGGUUGUUAAGUCAGUUGUGAAAGGUUGCGGCUCAACCGUAAAAUUGCAAUUGAUACUGGCAGGCUUGAGUACAGUUGAGGUAGGCGGAAUUCGGGGUGUAGCGGUGAAAUGCUUAGAUAUCACGAAGAACACCGAUUGCGAAGGCAGCCUACUAAACUGUGACUGACAUUGAUGCUCGAAAGUGUGGGUAUCAAACAGGAUUAGAUACCCUUGUAGUC